CUUUGUUCUGGAAUUUUGUCACAAUAAAGCAUUGUCAUUUGUCUCUUAGAUUCUUUCCUUCCCAGCUCCUCCACCACCACCACUCCCUAUUGGUGAAAUUGGCACAUGUCAAAGAGCUAACAAAGGGAUCUUCCUAAAAGGCGUCAUUGUGUGCCCAAAGGGUUUCUGGACUUGGACAUCAUGGUGGACUGGUACAAUUGUCUGCUUAUACAGACUUGCUGGAGCAUAAUAGUUCCACAAAGACCAUUCUCCAAAUAGUGAACCCAGAAGCCUUCACUUAUGACUUCAAUAAAAAUUCACCAAUGGAACAGAAUAGAUAGCCCAGAAAUAAUGCCACACACCUACAACCAUCUGAUCUUCCACAAAAUCAACAAAAACAAGCAAUGGGGAAAGGACUCCCUAUUCAAUGAUUGGUGCUGGAAUAACUGGCUAGCCAUAUGCAGAAGAUUGAAACUGGACCCCUUCCUUACACCAUAUACAUGAAUCAACCUAAGAUGGAUCAAAGACUUAAAUGUAAAGCCUAAAACUAUAAAAACUCUCGAGGAUAACAUAGAAAAUACCAUUCUGGAUAUAGGACCUGGCAAAUAUUUCAUGAUGAAGACACCAAAACCAACUGCAACAAAAACAAAAAUUGACAAAUGGGACUGGAUUAAAGAAAGAACUUCUGCACAGCAAAAGAAACUCUCAACAGUGUAAACAGACAACCUGCAGAAUGGGAGAAAAUUUUUGCAAACUAUGCAUCCAACAAAGGCCCUCUAAUAUCCAGAAUCUAUGAGGAACUUAAACAAAUUUACAACCGAGAAACAAACAACCUCAUUAAAAAGUGGGCAAAGGACAUGAACAGACACUUUUCAAAAAAAGCAUACAUCCAGCCAACAAGCAUAUGAAAAAAUGCUCAUCAUUAGAGAAAUGCAAAUCAAAACCACAAUGAGAUAUCAUCUCACACCAGUCAGAAUGGCUAUUAUUAAAGAGUCAAAAAACAACAGAUGCUGGUUAGGUCAUGUAGAAAGGGAAUACUUAUACACUGCUGGUAGGAAUGUAAAUUAGUUCAGCCAUUGGGGAAAGCAGUUUGGCAAUUUCUCAAAGAACUUAAAACAGAAUUUCUAUUUGACCCAGCAAUCACAUUGUUGGGUAUAUACCAAAGAAAUAUAAAUCUUUCUACCACAAAGACACAUGCACACAUAUGUUAAUCACAGCACCAUUCACAAUAGCAAAGAUGUGGAAUCAACCUAAAUGUCCAUCACUGGUAGACUGGAUAAAGAAAAUGUGGUACAUAUUCACUGCAUAGCAUUCCACAGUUUUUACAAUGUUUGGUUAAAGGGCCCUUUUACAAUAUUUGGACUAGGUUAAGCGAAGGAGAUACAGAGCUCAUCUAGAGACGCUUGUAUCUACUCAAGUCCUGCCACCUUGGAGGUCUACUAGGACCAUGUAGGGUCACCAUAGAUGCUGUCUACUAGUGUUAUGCACAACAUAACUGCCCAAAACUUUAAUUGCCAGUAUUCUAUAGUCAGAAUUAUCUCAGCAGGAGAAUCUAUGGAGAAAACAAGAUUAUAAUGAGAAAAUGUCCUUGAUAAACACGCAAUUAGAGGAAGAGGAGUCGGCUUAACUUACUCAUCCAUCCAACCACUCAGCACUCUCUCUAUAUCCUUCCUGAGUUGAUGGAAAUGGCCCCAAAGACUAGCCAGGGUGCCAUCUUCUCUAGACAGUGAUAGAGAUGCUCUGAAAAAUUGUAUUUCUUUAGCUUCUCAUUUUCUAGACUUUAUGCAGACAAUCCCCUUGUGUUCACUUGGAAGACACAACUGACCAGGUCUCAACGUUAGACAUGUUAAUAUAGUCAUAUACAUUCUUUUUUUAACUUUUACUUUAGGUUCAGGGGUACAUGUACACAUAUGUUAUAUAGACAAAUUAAGCAUCAUGAGGGUUUGGUGUACAGAUUAUUUUGUUACUCAGGCAAUAAGCAUUGUGCCCGAGAGGUAGUUUUUCCAUCGUUACCCUCCUCCCGCCCUCCACCCUUGGUGUCUAUCAUUCCCUUCUUUGUGUCCAUAUGUACUCGGUGUACUCUCACUUAUAAACGAGAACACGUGGUAUUUGGUUUUCUGUUCCUGUGUUAAUUUGCUUAGAAUAAUGGCCUCUAGCUCCAUCCAUCUUGCUGCAAAGGACAUGAUCUCGUUCUUUUUUAUGGCUGCACAGCAUUCCAUGGUGUAUAUAUACCACAUCUUCUUUAUCCAAUCUACCACUGACAGACAUUUAGGUUGAUUUCAUGUCUUUGCUAUUGUGAAUAGUUCUGUGAGGAACAUACGGUUGCAUGUGUCUUUAUGGUAAAACAAUUUAUAUUCCUCUAGGUCUAUACCCAAUAAUGAGAUUGCUGGGUCGCAUAGAAAUUCUCUUUUAAGUUCUUUAAGAAAUCACCGAACUGCUUUCCACAGUGGUGGAACUAAUUUACAUUCCCACCAGCAUUGUAAGCAUUCCCUUUCUAUACAACCUUGCCAACAUCUGUUGUUUUUUGACUUUUUAAUAAUAGCCAUUCUGACUGGUGUGAGAUGGUAUCUCAUUGUGGUUUUGAUUUGCAUUUCUCUAAUGAUUAAUGAUGUUGAGCAUUUUUUAUGUGCUUGUUGGUCAAGUCAUUUGCAUUCUUAACACUACACUUGGGUUAAUUAAAUAUCUCAGCCACUAUGUUCAAAUUAUUGCUUAGGAAAAGUUAGUUUUCUCAGGAAAUUGAUCUCACCCAAAACAAGUUUUCCUAAGCCUUGAGGGGAGCCUUAUUGUUGUGCCUUUGUGCAGAAUUCACUAUUUUUGGGAGAUAUAAACAUUCUAGAGUAUUAAAGCUUCACUCUAGUGGGAAGCAUUUAACACAGAUGAGGCUAAAUAGAAAAAUACACUAAAUAGGUAAUAGUAAUAAUAUAAAUUGAGCUGGUGUCUUUCUUUUUUAAUUGUUGGGGACUCAGUUAUAGAAUGGGAGGAUCACAAAGCUUCUGAAAGGAAGAACCCAUCCAUGUAGGCCAGGAUUCAUCAAUCUCUCCAUCCCAAGAUGUCUGUCUUCCCCUCAGCAUCACAGGACACUGGUUCAGGCCCUGGGGUGGAGGAGAUAGCUGGCGUGGGCUAGAGAGGGGGAACCACCUCCCACCAGAGGAACUGGAGGGCUGAGUGGUGGGCUGAGGGCCACUGGGAAAGGGAAAGCCCCUUGGCUGACACACCUGUGAGUGUUAAACAUGCACAGAUGGGAAGCCUGUGUUUACCUAUGAUUUGGACACAGGAUUAGAAGGUCACAUUCAAAAAAUGCCUCCUAAGAACCCCCUGGAGGGAACAGACUUUGGGUUAAAGCAUUUUCUGAAGAGACUCAAAGCAAGUUCUUCUCUUGUUGAGAGAUAAGAUAAAUGAGGACCCUCACUCUUGGCCUUUUUCCCCCUACUUAUAGUUUCUACAGAUGCUUGGAGUCAUAUGAUCUACUCUAAGCAAAUUCUGACUGAGGUACGACAGGAGGGAUCCAGGUUCUGUGAGGCCUGAAAACAAUACGGUUAUUGUAAGGAUUAAGAGAGACAAUAUAUGUAAUCUUUGGCUUGAUGCUUUGCACAAUGUAAGGACUCAAUAAACAACAGUUACCUAAGGGAUAGGUCAUGAAGCAAGGAGUCCAGUGAGGAUAUUCCCUCAACAGUGUGGGCCAGAGAUGAGAAAGCUUACACUGGCACUGUUGUUUGGCAGCAAAGAUGGAGAUGGAGAAGGUGGAACAGUGCUGGAAGAAAUUAAGAGGACAGGAAUAGUAGGGUGUGCUUGAUGAUUGGAUUCAGAGGAUGAUUUGAGAAGUGGGAAGAGGGAAGUGCCAGCCAAAAAACUGAGGAAGAACAAACAGAGCACCAAGCAUCAAGUAGUGAUCACUGAAUGACUCAAUACUGCCCAGCAUGGACACACCUAGGAAAUGUUAGCCAAAGAAAUGUUAUAAUUGUCUAAGUGUAUAAAUGUCAAAUGAAGGGGGCAAUGUAUAAAUUUUAUUUUAAAAAUAAAUAUUUU
rnacentral:lncRNA from 1 species